GAUGAACGCUGGCGGCGUGCCUAAUACAUGCAAGUCGAGCGAACGGACGAGAAGCUUGCUUCUCUGAUGUUAGCGGCGGACGGGUGAGUAACACGUGGAUAACCUACCUAUAAGACUGGGAUAACUUCGGGAAACCGGAGCUAAUACCGGAUAAUAUUUUGAACCGCAUGGUUCAAAAGUGAAAGACGGUCUUGCUGUCACUUAUAGAUGGAUCCGCGCUGCAUUAGCUAGUUGGUAAGGUAACGGCUUACCAAGGCAACGAUGCAUAGCCGACCUGAGAGGGUGAUCAGCCACACAGGAACUGAGACACGGUCCAGAGUCCUACGGGAGGCAGCAGUGGGGAAUCUUGCGCAAGGGGCGAAAGCCUGACGGAGCAACGCCGCGUGAGUGAUGAAGGUCUUCGGGUCGUAAAACUCUGUUAUUAGGGAAGAACAUAUGUGUAAUUAACUGUACGCGUCUUGACGGUACCUAAUCAGAAAGCCACGGCUAACUACGUG
rnacentral:rRNA from 1 species